CACUAUGUUCACCAACGGCUUGGUCGAUCAAUUGCAGCUUGAUUGUUCAGGGUUCAACUCCCUACAUAGUGU
rnacentral:tRNA from 1 species